rnacentral:rRNA from 1 species
UGGGGAAUAUUGCACAAUGGGCGAAAGCCUGAUGCAGCAACGCCGCGUGAGUGAUGAAGGCCUUCGGGUUGUAAAGCUCUGUCUUUUGGGACGAUAAUGACGGUACCAAAGGAGGAAGCCACGGCUAACUACGUGCCAGCAGCCGCGGUAAUACGUAGGUGGCAAGCGUUGUCCGGAUUUUACUGGGCGUAAAGGAUGCGUAGGCGGAUUUUUAAGUGAGAUGUGAAAACCCUAAGCUUAACUUGGGGACUGCAUUUCAUACUGGAAAUCUAGAGUGCGGGAGAGGAGAAUGGAAUUCCUAGUGUAGCGGUGAAAUGCGUAGAGAUUAGGAAGAACACCAGUGGCGAAGGCGAUUCUCUGGACCGUAACUGACGCUGAGGCAUGAAAGCGUGGGUAGCAAACAGGAUUAGAUACCCUGGUAGUCCACGCCGUAAACGAUGAGUACUAGGUGUAGGAGGUAUCGACCCCUUCUGUGCCGCAGUUAACACAAUAAGUACUCCGCCUGGGAAGUACGAUCGCAAGAUUAAAAACUUAAAUGAAUUGACGGGGGUCAUAGCUG